AAACUAUUAUUAUUAAAACCAGACAAAACAACUAAUUAACUAAAACUAAUGGUUUAAGUAAACUAAUUUAAAAUCAAACGUCUCUCCUUUGGCAGGUCGUAGUUCCACAUCGUUUUAUUGUCAGCUUUUUGAGGCAUUUUCAUUAAAUAUGGAGACUUUUUUAAUUUGAGAGAUUUGUCUAUAUAUAUACAUUAGUUUAAACACAACAUGUAAGAAACUGACAAAACUAAGUUGUGACACAUAAAAAGGUGAUUACUUUUUUUUAAAUUCAGAAUUUAAAAGGCGGUUAAAAUGUGUUGAAUUGACUUGUUGUACAGAGUUACACCACAGGGUGGCGGUGCUGCUGCUUGUCCAGUCCUCACAGACACACGAAGAAGGGCACAGAGUAAAGAUUCUCCAUCUUAUUUUAGUUACUUCCAGGUUAUUAACACCCACUAACCACAUGAUUCCCAUAAAGUCUUUAUCGUCUAUCAUUUAUUAUCCUAUCAAACAGUUUUAUGUGGACAAUGAUUUGAGAGCGAAAUAACUGUUCUACUGGGUUAGCACUUCGGCACUAGCAUGCUAGUAGCCCCACUAGUUUAGCAGCUAACUGCUAAACUUAGCAGUGAUUCUAUUGACCUGAUAGCUCAGGGGUCAUAAAAUAAUGUAUUUCUGCCAGAAAUGAAGACAUUCAGAGGAAAAAUAUCUGUUUACUAUGUUAGAAGUUAGCAUUAUAUAUAUCCAUCCAUCUUCUAUAUACCCUUGUCCCUUAGUGGGGUCAGGAGGGUUGCUGGUGCCUCUCCAG